rnacentral:rRNA from 1 species
GUAGGUGGCAAGCGUUGUCCGGAAUUAUUGGGCGUAAAGCGCGCGCAGGCGGUUCUUUAAGUCUGAUGUGAAAGCCCACGGCUCAACCGUGGAGGGUCAUUGGAAACUGGAGAACUUGAGUACAGAAGAGGAAAGCGGAAUUCCACGUGUAGCGGUGAAAUGCGUAGAGAUGUGGAGGAACACCAGUGGCGAAGGCGGCUUUCUGGUCUGUAACUGACGCUGAGGCGCGAAAGCGUGGGAGCAAACAGGGAUUAGAUACCCUGGUAGUCCACGCCGUAAACGAUGAGUGCUAAGUGUUAGGGGGUUUCCGCCCCCUUAGUGCUGCAGCUAACGCAUUAAGCACUCCGCCUGGGGAUACGGCCGCAAGGCUG